rnacentral:lncRNA from 1 species
GGCGGGGCGAGGCGCAGCAAGGAGGAGAACGGCGGGCAGGGAGAGGACAGCGGCAAAAUGCGGGGUGGCAGGGAUGACGGGGAAGCAGACCCCGCGCUGAGAUCUGCAGGGCCAGGGCCAGGGCAGCGGCACAGGGCCAGGUCCUCACAGGUGUCUCACGCUGAAGGCCAGGGGCGGGUGGAGGAGGGGCCGUGGAGCUGGACAGAGGAGGUGAGGAGGGGCUGCAGUGAACUCCAUCCCAGGAGGGGACACCCGUCAGGGAACUCCUCAGUGAGGCGGAAGAGAAACACCUGCAUCUUGGCCUCACUUGGAGAUUCUGCUGAGGGCUCCAGCGAGGAGCUGCUCCCGCCGUUCCGAGAGAAGGCAGAGGAUGGAACCCUCACUGUACAGCCAAAAGCACACUCUCCAAUUUGUGCCUCUGCAUAGACUUGCCCCAGCCAGAAGGAGUCCAGAAUUACAUCCUGCUAAAUGUUACUCUCCAAGAGGGAAGGAAGCGUGCAUCGGAGACACUCUGGACCAAGACACAAAUGCCUGUUCCUCCACUACUCAACAGUUCACUGUGGCCAAGUACACUGAACAGCUGAGCUGACCUUCCUGCAGAGUGUGGUGCAUACAGAGUUCUAAAUCUUAGGAGUGAAUUUAAUUCAGUGACUCACUUUCACUUGUUGAUCUGAUGAGCACUGUAGAAUGUGUUGUCUUGCAAAAAAUGUUGAAAACAGACAGCAUCUUGAACAUUACAUGCAUUCUAUAAUAUUACCUGUAGUUAACCAGCAAAAAAUUAAUUCCAAAUUUAAAACUCGAGCCACAAGAGACUGUUGCAUUUGCACAGUCACCUGGAACCUUGCCGCUCAGUUGAAAGGAAAUGAAGUAGCCCCAGGAAGGUCAAGGGGUAAACAAAUGUCCUCUACCAGAACUUGCAGCUCUGAAGGUCUCCCUCUGCCCCUGGCUCUGCCUUCCAAUUCUCAGGAGACCUUUUUAUCUAAUCAAGGAAUUUGAUUUAAAUACGCCAAGUUUAGAAGCAAUGUGAGUAGCUGUCCUCCGGGCUGGCCUCUGUGUCCAGCUGUAACUCAAGGCGUUUCUGACCUCACUGCACUAGAACAGGCCACACAGGGAUCCUGAGUGUACUGAGCCUCCUCCGUCUUGGGGGCAGGACUCUCUCUUUCGAGCACCCCCUCCCCCUGUAUCUGGGCAGGACUACUCAUUCCCACCAUGCCUGUCUCUGCUCAUGUGUCUCCUGCUUGCCUGGCAUUGCAUCAUCUCCAGAAGGACAGUCACAGUGCUCCCCUCCCUCCCUCCCUGUCUUCCAUGUGAGGAUACUGCUUUUUAUAAGGAUCUCAUGUAUUUGUCUGUCAUAUACUCAGCAAAAACAAAAUUGUCCUCAUCCUUCUCUUUCUUUCUCCUCUGUGCCCAGUCCAUCCAUCACAUCUCUCUUUACGAUGUGUUCAUUAAAUGUGCAUUGAUCUCCAUCUCUGCUGGGGUGCUGCACUGUCCCUGAGGCCUGUGUCUCUGUCGAGGGCUUUCUCAUAACCUUCACCCUACUGCAAGAUGUUAAGAGAGGGGGAGCUUUGCCCAACUCUGGAGUCUGGAAGCAGGGCCUUUGAACAGUGGUCAGCACUAGAGAAGCCAGUUGGUGAACCCCCGAAACUGAAUCUGGUGGCUGUGUGAGAAGAGGGAGAGAGACCCUCAGGACACACCCAUAUGUUCCUGUCUCUUGCCCCGUGAUGCCCUCUACUGUCCCAGGACUCUGCCAGCAAGAAAACACCACAAGAUGCACCUACCCCACACCCUGGAUUUCCAGAACUGUGAGCCGAAACAAUCCUCUUUAAAAUUGUUUGUGUUGUUACACUCAAAAAAGAUGAAUACACCAUGUGUUCAAUAUCUUUCAUUAUAAUCACAUUAAUCUUUCUGUUGAAUUUAAGUUAGAUUUAGUACUUAAUUUAGUACCUAAAUUUCCAAUGGUUCCCCAGUAUUCGAAGGAAAUCCAAACUCCUUCCCACAGCCUACAAGGUUGCUGCUGUCCUCUCCCUUUAUCCUCCUCAUGCUACCCGGCCACGCAUCUUGAGCCUGUUUCCUGUCCUGACACAGCCUUCGUUUCUGUACGGGACCGGUUUGUUCUCAUUCAAGUCUGUUCUCAGUCAAGGUUCACCUCCAGGGCCAUCUGCUUUGCCAAACUCUGUCGGACCAUCCCCUGCCCUACCCCCUUCCAUCUCAUUCCUGUCUCUUUUUUUACCCACAGCACUUCUGUUUGCUGACUUCUGUUUUCUAUCUCUCCCGCUAAUAUGCUACAUCUUUAAGAGUAGGGACUUCUUAUUUUAAAUCAUACUCAUUGUGAUUUAACUUCUACUUAGAGAAGUAUUGAUCAAAAUAGUAGAUGUUUGGUACAAACUCAGCCAAACCAAUGGAUAAGUUGUUCACUGCCAGCUCUCUUCACAGAAAUGUAACCUCCACGAGGAAUGGACCUUGCCCUGUGUAGAUGGUACACAUACCUCUGUGUCCCUAUCACUCUUCCUGAUGCUUGAUACAUUCUCAUUAGUUGUUUUUUCACAUUUGUUUAAUCCAAGAUAAAGAAAUGAGUCGAAAGAAGGUAAUAGGUGUAGUAUUUCUUGGCUACAAAUCAGGAUUUAUUUACAAUUAUGAUAGCAGAAGUUAGUAUCUUUUGGCAAUUUAUUGAAAGGGCAUAAAGCAAAUAAUUCACCUUGAAACAUGCAAUUGAGACAGUGUAAUUACUCAGUUUUCCAUUCCUAUCACAAAAUACCUGAGAUAAACAAUUUAAAAGGAAUAAAGGUCAAUGUUGGCUUGUGGUUUUGAUGGUUUCAGUUCAUGGUAGGCUGGUUCCAUUACUUUUAAGGCUGUGGUGAGGCAGAACAUUAUGGUGGGGUGGGCUCCCAAAGAAGAAUUGCUCACCUCGUGGUGGUCGGGAAGCACAGAGAGAGCAAGAAAAGGGGCCCAGGUUCCAGUGGAUCGUCCCAGGUGCAACAUCAGUAACCUAUAUCCUCCAAUGAGGUCAUGCCUCCAGAAGUCUCCACCACCUUCCAAAAGCACCAGCAACUGGGGACCAAACAUUCCACAUGGGAGCCUUUGGUGGCCAUUCCAGACCCGCACUGUGACAGAGAAUAAGUGUGGAUUCCCACUUCAUAGCAAAGCACUCCAUCCUUGUUUAGUGAUGGCUCAUAGCUGAGUCCCACCCCCAACCCAGAAAUGACCUCUGCCCCAUCCAGGGAGACACUGGUCCACCCUGUGAUUGUGAGAUUUGGGAAAGUGAAGUAAGGCACAGAUCCUCUGCCUCACUUCGGGAUUUCCUGAGAACUGCACAUCCCUCUUACUUCCCUCAUUCAUUUAAAGCUGUUGUUCUUACUGUUAAAAUUCUAUUCCAGUCUUCCUUGGAAACUUGUCUAGGAGAAUUAGAUCCAGGAAUCAGUUCUACAGAGGAAAUUUUGGAGGUGGAUCAACACAGUAAAGAUGAGGACCUCAUACUCUGUGGAGUCUAGAUGACCCCCAACAGGUCACAACGAGCAGUGGUUAAAACUCACCAGGAAAGUGUGAUGUGAUGCAAGUGGAACAGAAUAUGCUAAUGAAGGAAAUAUCUCAGAUAUUUGGAAAUAUCGUGGAAGGUUCAAGAAAAGUAGUCAUUGUAACGAUUAUGGCAUCCUAUGGCUGCUGGCAGAGGCUACUAAGACAUUUGGAAAAAACAACAAAAUAUUUACCAAUUCAAGUGAAAUCUGAAACCCAGUUUUCAUAUAAAAACAUAUAAAAAACUCUUAGGCCUGCACCAGAGGCAUAAAAAGCUGGAGAUCAGCUUCAAACUUCACCCAGGGCCCCGCAGAGGAGGGUGAAUUCCCAACCCUGUCCUGGAGCGAGCUGAUCCAAAGGAACAGGACCUGACAAUCGGCCUGGGACCACCAGCAUUGAGAGCAGCGGGGUUAGCGACCGAGUGAUUCCCUUCAGCUUCUUGCAGCACUCUGUACCCAGGCCUGCUUUUUGUCCUCUCGAUGGGCCAGAUACAAAGAAACUCACCGGUAAACCAUCUGCAGGCCAGUUUUCAUCUCAGCAUCUGUUUCCGGGUGAACUUGGCCUUUGCCAUUACUGAACAAAGGCAAAUUCAUGAAAUACAGUUUUGCUGUGAGUUAUCAUGUGUGUGAUUAUUUUUUGUCUGAGAAUACCCUAAGUGUUGAUAUUGUAGGAAUAAGCAAAAUGUAGAAUGAUCAUCACUCUAAGAAGUACACUGUCUUUCACUUAUGGAAGAAAUAGAAAUAAUAUAGUGUGAUGCUGCUUUAGAAUAUGGCUAGAUAAGUGGAAGGCACAUAAAAUAAUAGACAAUCGAAUAGAUAACAUAGGUACAAAAUUUAUAUCAUAUGCAGUACCACAUCACUCAGUUCCUCAGAGUAGAGGUGUUCCCAAAUGGACACAGUAUGAUGUAAGCAGGAAGAUCUCUAAGGAGACACAGAAAAUGUGACAUCAAUCAUUCAAAUCAUAAACUAUACUUGAAGGAAAACUUCUCAGGACUCAAAGUUUCUUUUAUUUUACAGCCUAAUCUUAAAGCCAUGAUUCCUGGGUUUGAGACCAGCUACAGAUUAGAAGCUACAAGUUAGUUGUAUACAUAUAGCAUAGUAUUGUCUUUAAAAAUUAGGAGAUAAAUGAGACAGGAACAUUGAGCGAGGAGACAGGCUCACUGAAUCUGCGGGCAGAACAGUGGUCAGUGAGGUGGGCUCUGAGCUCACCUCUGCUCUUCUACUUCUCUGUGGAUGCGAAUUACUUCUCCAGGUCUCCUUAUUUUAAAAAAUCAAGGCAAUUGUGCUAGGCAGAAUAAUGAGCCCCAAAGGUGCCCACAGCCCAAAGUGGUUAUUGUAAAGACCACAUCAGAUAAAGCUUGCAGAAGAUUUCAACUUCUGCUCCAUAAAGUGUUCACUGUGGAAACACAGUGUAGUUGUGUAAUGAGACCCAGUAGGGGAGCAAACGCGCUGUUCCCUUUGUUGGAGCUCAGGGUCAUGGUGUGGUGUCCUAAAUAGAAUCUUAGUCAUGAACAAGAAGUCAGUGUUUGAGCACUGUGCUUUCAAAAUGUCAAAGAAGAAUAGACACACACACACACUCACACGUGUGUGUAUGUGUGUGUGUGUGUGU